GGGUUCUGGCAACUGCCUGUGGAGAGGCCCGUGUCCUGGCCCAGAUGAGCAAGGCCUCACCCAGCUCCCUGCUGGCUAAGUUCUCAGAGGAUACUCUCAGCAGCUAUACGGAGGCUGUCUCCUCUCAGGAAAUGCUGCGCUGCAUUUGGGGCCACUUCCUGAGGGUGCUCGGGGGGACAUCGCCAACGCUGAGCCACAGUUCCAGCCUGCUGCACAGCCUGGGCUCUGUCACGGUCCUGUGCUGUGUGGACAAACAGGGGAUCCUGUCAUGGCCAAAUCCCAGCCCAGAGACUGUACUGUUCUUCAGCGGGAAGGUGGAGCCCCCUCACAGCAGCCACGAGGACCUCACCGAUGGCCUAUCCACCCGCUCCUUCUGCCAUCCCGAGGUAGAGGAGGAGCCCCAUGAACGAGACGCCCUCCUGGCUGGCUCCCUGAACAACACCCUGCACCUUUCCAAUGAGCAGGAGCGUGGCGACUGGCCUGGCGAGGCUCCCAAGCCCCCCGAGCCCUAUUCACACCACAAAGCGCAUGGCCGCAGCAAACACCCAUCUGGCUCCAACGUGAGCUUCAGCAGGGACACCGAGGGUGGUGAAGAAGAGCCCAGCAAGGUGACGGGAGGGGGUGGCACGGGGCAGCCACACCCUUGGCCACAGGCUGUCCUGGCCUCCCUGGCCAGCCUGGCCUCACAAGGUCUGAAAGAGCAGGCGUCUCUGCCCUCUGUCCCAGCACCUCCAGGCUAGGCCAGUGGUCCCUGAGGCCCUCCCCCAGUCUGCUGCGAAGUAGGUGGAACCUCCCCCUACCCUUCCAUUCUUGUAAUCGCAAUCACUGGUGUCCCUAUUGGAACCUUCCAAAUAUACACAGCCCAGGGCUCCCUCUUAGAGAUGUUCCCUGGCCACAGAAGAUCCCUCAACUGUGUCCUCUUUGGUCUGGCCACCCCUCUUUUUAGCUCCUGCCAGUGUCAUGAGAUAUAUUAAUAGUCCAUAGAA
rnacentral:sRNA from 1 species